UCGUCGACACAUUGGUAGAAUCUGGUAGAAAGAUAUUGAUGUACUUUCCGAGCGGACUAAUUUUCAAGUACCCAUGUCAAUCAGUAUGGCAUCUGGAGGACAUUUUCAGAAAGUCACGGUAUUGACAUUGACGUAAUUCCGACAAUUCGGAAAUGAUCUCUUCCACCGAUCGUGUGUUUCAACCCCUGAAGGAAUUUCCGAAGAAAAAUUCUGGUAUCAAUCACUGGAGAAUCGAUGACAGGCCCGGCAGCCACCAUUCAUUUAUCUUCUGCCUGGUAUACGAAGAUAUCGCCGAGAUUUCGUAGGAAAAAAAAUUGGGAUUCCCCUAAAAUUGAAAAAGCGAUUAUUGCUGUCACCAUCUUCAAAUUCGGUCAAGAGGACAUCAAAC